AUAAUGAUACUCCCGUACAGUCACAGUCCGAGCGUUGAAGCACAGAGAACCUGUGUGAGCCGUCGCAGGCAAUGAGUACGGCUGCAUGAGAACCAUGCAGGGGUGAGAUUCCCGUGA
rfam:Shuttleworthia satelles DSM 14600 genomic scaffold Scfld1, whole genome shotgun sequence.